ACGACCCUCCGAUGAAAUACACGUAGGACGUAUAGUUAAAUUAUAACCUGGAGAAUAUGAUAUAUAGAUCGUAGUCUCACAGUUAUAACUUAUAUUAUAGCCUAUCAUUGUACCUUCGUUGUAGUUAAAAGGUACCUUGGUAAUUGUUGUUUGUUUAAACAAUGUCUAAGAACUCUAUCGAAAUUUUAGGCCCUGGCAAUAAUCGAUCAAAUGAUUGCUUUGAACGGGUAUUUUCAGGUUGAUUCACUACAUCUAAGCAGUAAAUCAACAGUACGUCCACUUUCAUAGUUGCUCAAAAAGGCUGGGAACCAAUUGCUGGAUCAUUCAAUACUGUCCGGGGCUGUAAGGUAUGAGAAGAUAAUGCAUAAAGAAAAACUGGCAGUGAUUGGAUAAGAAAAGUAUAUGCAGUGAUAACAAUACGCGUCAUCGAAAAAGAAACACUUAUUUUCUGUGAGAGAGACAGUGAUGUUGAAGAUAUUGUGUGAUUCAUUGUUGCAAAAUAAUCAUUUUGUUGAAUCUGAAAAAAGAUUUUGUGUAAACUUGCAAUCACUGCGACACAUGGAUGUGAAAAUUUCAAUUAUACACCUGAUUCAAUGCAAACACCAAUUUUACAUCUACCUGUUUAAAAAUCCAACACACCAGACUUACAAAAAGAAUUGUUUGACCGGAUUCUUGUAAGAUAAACAAUAAUUGAUUCAAAGGACACACAUUUGCCAGUUUAAACCAAUUCGCAUAAAUUAUCUACGAACACAAUCAGGUUUUGUAAAUGUGGAAAAUCUGGCAGUGAUUGGAUAAGAAAAGUAUAUGUAAAGAAUACAAUACUCGUCACCAAAAAAGAAACACUUAUUUUCUGUAACAGAGACAGUGCUGUUGAAGAUAUUGUGUGAUUCAUUGUUGCAAAAUAAUGUUUUUGCUGAAUCUGAUGGAAGAACUUGCAAUCACUGCGACACAUGGAUGUAAAAAUUUAAGUUAUACACCUGAUUCAAUGCAAACACCAAUUCUACAUCUAUCGAUUCAAAAUCCAAUUCAUCAGACUUAUGAAAACGUUUAAACACCGAAAACUCCACUGAUGCUGCUGAAGAUCCAAAUAAUAAACUUAAAUUAAAUUGUAAUUGUGGUUCAUUAUAAAAAUAAUUAAGAGGACGUCAUACCAGUAUAUGUUGUCUCCGUCUUACACACGUAAAACAACAAAUUUUCGUUCACCAGUUUCAAUAGUGUACUGUUAGUUUUGACAUUAAGAGUGGACCUCUACUAAGGUAAGUAAAUUAUCCGUGUUCUCUCAAUGGUUUUUUACGAUAUUUUAAUUUUUAAGUGAUCAUUUUCAAAUAUUUAUAUUUUACAUACUCAUAACUCACUUGAAAAUUAAAAUAUUGUUAAAACCCAACUAGAGAACAGAGAAAAUGUUGUUACCUGAAAGUUUGAUAGUAAGUUAAAUUUAUUCUAGUAUCAAAACUAACGGUCCACUAUUGAAACUGGUGAACAAAAAUUUAGUAUGUCGUGCGUAUGUAAGCCGGAGACAACAUGUGCAGGUGCAACAUCCACUUAACAGUACUACUUAUCGAAGAAGUUCAAAAACAAAUAAUCAGACAACUAGUAACAUUAAACGCUAGGCAAAGAGAAUAAGGAGAGUAUUUGCACCCCAUAAUGUUGGUAGUCAGUAACAUCCAAGAUAAUGAAAAAAUCUGAUGGUUCCACCAUCAUUAGGAUCUAAUCAACAAUUUGAAAAAAUAUGUGAAAUAUUCCCAAUAUCAAUUAACAAUUAAUUAAAUAUGUUUAAAGAAGCUUUCACUGACGACAACGCCUUAUACGAUCAAACUGUAAAUAUGUUAUCAACAGACAACAAUUGGUGGUGAUAAUUAUUAACAGGCAGUGAGGCAUAUCUUAAAACAAAUCAUAACUGAUGAUUAUACCAAAUCAUAUAGUUACACUCGGCACAAAGGAAACAAAUAACCUUUCAACAAAACAAUUUUGUCUUCUUUACUUACAAAAGCAACCCAGUCUUCUUAUAUAUUCAAUCAAACUUUGAUUAAGAACAUUGAAUCUGCCGCAAGUUUAUGGCUUUCAAAAGCAAGUGAAAGACUCAAGAUGACCACACCAAAUAAUAUUAAUAAAUGAUUUUUGGCAAAUACUUUGUUUUAACUGUUCAGCCAGGCCUGGCCACUAAAUUUUAACGUAAUAAAUAUUUUUUUUAAAGAACUAUACACCUAUGGGCUAUGCUUAGGGUUUAUUUAAUAAAAAUAUACCUAGAAUCUAAAUCAAAUCUUCAUAUGUAUAUAGUAUAUGUUACGGGCAAUGUGGAAUAUCAAUGUGGUCCUGGCUCGAACAAUGUAAACCACAAAUUUUUUUUUA